rnacentral:rRNA from 1 species
GUGCUUAACACAUGCAAGUCGAACGAAGCGAGAGGAGCUUGCUCCUCAAGCUUAGUGGCGGACGGGUGAGUAACGUGUGGGCAACCUGCCUUUUACAGGGGAAUAAUCACUGGAAACGGUGACUAAUACCGCAUACGAUCUUCGGAAGGCAUCUUCUGGAGAGGAAAGGAGCAAUCCGGUAAAAGAUGGGCCCGCAUCUGAUUAGCUAGUUGGUGAGAUAAUAGCCCACCAAGGCAACGAUCAGUAGCCGACCUGAGAGGGUGAUCGGCCACAUUGGGACUGAGACACGGCCCAAACUCCUACGGGAGGCAGCAGUGGGGAAUAUUGCACAAUGGGGGAAACCCUGAUGCAGCAACGCCGCGUGAAGGAAGAAGGUUUUCGGAUCGUAAACUUCUAUCAAUAGGGACGAAUAAAUGACGGUACCUAAAUAAGAAGCCCCGGCUAACUACGUGCCAGCAGCCGCGGUAAUACGUAGGGGGCAAGCGUUAUCCGGAAUUACUGGGUGUAAAGGGAGCGUAGGCGGCAUGGUAAGUAAGAUGUGAAAGCCCGAGGCUUAACCUCGAGGAUUGCAUUUUAAACUAUCAAGCUAGAGUACAGGAGAGGAAAGCGGAAUUCCUAGUGUAGCGGUGAAAUGCGUAGAUAUUAGGAAGAACACCAGUGGCGAAGGCGGCUUUCUGGACUGAAACUGACGCUGAGGCUCGAAAGCGUGGGGAGCGAACAGGAUUAGAUACCCUGGUAGUCCACGCCGUAAACGAUGAGUGCUAAGGUGUCGGGGAGGAAUCCUCGGUGCCGCAGUUAACACAAUAAGCACUCCACCUGGGGAGUACGACCGCAAGGUUGAAACUCAAAGGAAUUGACGGGGGCCCGCACAAGCGGUGGAGCAUGUGGUUUAAUUCGAAGCAACGCGAAGAACCUUACCAAGGUUUGACAUCCCUCUGACGUAUAUAGAGAUAUAUAUUUUCUUCGGAACAGAGGAGACAGGUGGUGCAUGGUUGUCGUCAGCUCGUGUCGUGAGAUGUUGGGUUAAGUCCCGCAACGAGCGCAACCCUUAUCAUUAGUAGCCAGCACGUAGAGGUGGGCACUCUAAUGAGACUGCCGUGGAUAACACGGAGGAAGGUGGGGAUGACGUCAAAUCAUCAUGCCCCUUAUAUCUUGGGCUACACACGUGCUACAAUGGCCGGUACAAAGAGAAGCGAGACCACGAGGUGGAGCAAAACUCAGAAACAACGUCCCAGUUCGGACUGCAGGCUGCAACUCGCCUGCACGAAGUCGGAAUUGCUAGUAAUCGUGGAUCAGCAUGCCACGGUGAAUACGUUCCCGGGCCUUGUACACACCGCCCGUCA